rnacentral:rRNA from 1 species
AUUGAACGCUGACGGCAUGCCUUACACAUGCAAGUCGAACGGUAACAGGUUAAGCUGCCGAGUGGCGAACGGGUGAGUAAUGUAUCGGAACGUGCCCAGUCGUGGGGGAUAACUGCUCGAAAGAGCAGCUAAUACCGCAUACGACCUGAGGGUGAAAGCGGGGGAUCGCAAGACCUCGCGCGAUUGGAGCGGCCGAUAUCAGAUUAGGUAGUUGGUGAGGUAAAGGCUCACCAAGCCGACGAUCUGUAGCUGGUCUGAGAGGACGACCAGCCACACUGGGACUGAGACACGGCCCAGACUCCUACGGGAGGCAGCAGUGGGGAAUUUUGGACAAUGGGCGCAAGCCUGAUCCAGCCAUGCCGCGUGCGGGAAGAAGGCCUUCGGGUUGUAAACCGCUUUUGUCAGGGAAGAAAAGGUUCUGGCUAAUACCUGGGACUCAUGACGGUACCUGAAGAAUAAGCACCGGCUAACUACGUG